GGAUCCCAUCAGAACUCCGAAGUUAAGCGUGCUUGGGCGAGAGUAGUACUAGGAUGGGUGACCUCCUGGGAAGUCCUCGUGUUGCAUUCCUUUUUUAAUUUUUUUUGCGCGUCGUGACAAACAAAACGCACGUGCGUGACAUAUAUUAACCCCGUUGUUUCUUAUUUUCCAUGUUUGCGGUACGUUUUCGCUCGCUGCUCAUUAUUCACGCGUCUAGCCGGCGUUGUGGCCGGCAAGCACGUUCCGAAAGGGGAUCGAGACCAUGGUAAAUACGUGGUGGUGCGGUUGAGAGGGAGGGGUGGAAACCGUGGUAAACUCGUCUCCGCAGUUGAGCGGGAGUGGCCAAAAGAAUGUGCAAUCGUUUUUGUAGUGGAGCUGGGAGGGGCAAGCAUAAGGGACGAAGGCAGGGGUAACAUGUCGGAUGUGAUCAUACCAGCACUAAAGCACC
rnacentral:rRNA from 1 species